ensembl:snRNA U5 U5 spliceosomal RNA
ACACUCACGUUUCACCUCAUAUCGUAUAAAUCUUUCGCCUUUUACUAAAUAUUUCUGUGGGGAGUAACACAAUGAGUAUAAACUAAUUUUAUGAUGCCCUGCUUUUGGCGGGGCU